GCUCUUACUGGAACACUAUCAGCAAAUUAUAAGGUAGAAAAUAAGGAUACGUGGGAAUACAAAUCAACAGAAAUAGACCACGGAGGAAAGCUUUCACAUAACUACAGAGGAUUGAAGACGAGAACAGGAGUUGUUCUCCAUAAGCAGCAUAGAAGUAGUGAUGAA